UUGGUCCUGAGGGGUUCACCAAGUAGCCAGAAGAGGAAGAAGUGGGAGUGCCAUUCCCAAUUCCACAAGGCUCUCAGGCAAGGGGCUGAGCCUGGUGGAAUUCACAUUCUCCUCUAAUUGGGAAAGACCUUUGUUGUCAUUUUGAGCUCUGUCCUGAAGGUCAUGGCGUUUGGUGGUAAAAGGUUUACUUCAAUCAUCACCUUGCAAUCAUCACCUUGAAUCAUCUAUAAUCAAAAGCUGAUAGAAACAACCACAGGAACAAAAACACUGCAAAAUAAGGUGGGAAAAACUAUUUCCAAGGAAAUUAGCCAGCAUCAGAAAAUUCCUGGUGAGUAUUAUAAGAAGCCAUCAUGCAUUCACCAGCAGGAGCAGUGGAAGUGGAAGCUAAUACCAGCAAGACCCCAGUGGAAGAGUUUAUUAAAAGAAAAAAAAGCAUUUGUGUACAAAGUUUUGGAUAUUAAGUAUAUAAAAUGCUGUCCACACCACAGAGAAGCAUUUUUGAAUACUGGGCUGAGAACACAUCACGUGAGUACAUGGCCAUGGAGAACUAAAGCAAUUUCCAUUGAUUACUCAAAUAAUUCACUCAAGUAA